rnacentral:rRNA from 1 species
GACGAACGCUGGCGGCGUGCUUAACACAUGCAAGUCGAACGGAAAGGCCUUUUCGGAGGUGCUCGAGUGGCGAACGGGUGUGUAACACGUGGGUUAUCUGCCCUGCACUCUGGGAUAAGCCUGGGAAACUGGGUCUAAUACCGGAUAGGACCGCACUUUAGUGCGUGUGGUGGAAAUUUUUUGCGGUGUCGGAUGAGCCCGCGGCCUAUCAGCUUGAUGGGGGGGUAAUGGCCUACCAAGGCGGGGAAGGGUAGCCGGACGGAGAGGGUGGUCGGCCACAUUCGGUCUGAGUUACGGCCCAGACGCCUACCGGAGGCAGCCGGCGGUAGUGUUGCACCAGGGGCGGGAGCCUGAUGCAGGGACGCCGGGGGGGUGAAGACGGACUUCGGGUUGUACACGCAUUUCGCCAGUGACGAAGCGUUUUGUGACGGUAUCUGGAGAAGAAGCACCGGCUAACUACCUG